UUUCAGAAUUGCAGGAAUCAGAGAUGGAAGAGACCCAUUAACUGAUCUUUGUGUUCCCUCCAGGGCAGAGCAGGAUUUCUCCCUCAGGGGGUUAUUUUUAGCACUCUGUUGAGCAGAGUUCUCAGUGUCUCUCAUGACAUGGGGGUUUCUUUUCCAGGGAUUUAGAGCGAGCCUUGCCUGGGAAGGAAGGAGGCAACAGAGCCCCAGCUCUCCAGGGACUUUUGUUCUCACAGAGAAGUAGAAAUGUGACAAUUGCUCUGGAAGAAGCUUCACACUGGCAUCCCACGUCCCAGGAGAUGUCAUACACCCUUAGAUGAAUGGCACCUGUCCCCAGGCUCAGCAGGCAGAGAACCUGCCAAAUCUUAAUUUUUCCAGUUUACAAGUAAGAGCCUCUAAACCAUCUGUUUGCUGUCAACUGAUGUUUGUUUGGAGAGGGAUUUUAUUAUUUUUUUCCAUCUCGCACUCCUGUUCUUACAACUAGUUUACUGAACUUCAUAAAUGUCAGCUCUCACAGUCGUUUCGUGAGCCAGUUAUGAUUUAGGAUUUAAUCAAAAUUGAGCAGUCAGUGUCUUUAAUCAAUAGGAAUGGAGAUCAAAAACAAAGGAACGGGGGACUGAGGAAUGAAACAUUUAAUGUAUCCCCACCGCCUUUCAAAGAGCCUGAUUUGCACCGUAAUGGCAACCAGGGAUCGUUAGAACAAACCUUAAAAA